AGUGAGGCUAGGGAUCAAACCCGCCACGUCAUAGUUCCUAGUCGAAUUUGUUUCCACUGUACCACGUUGGGAACUCCUGCAGUCAGGUUCUUAACUCACUGUGCCAUAGCAGGAACUCUAAUAGAGGCAGUUUAACUAUGUUGCCUCUACUUUUCUUUCUACAGGGAAACACAGGACAGAACUGAGGAUGCAUCAACCCUCAACAGCACAGGGUGAGCAACUCUGCUCUCCUCACCCAAUUGAGGAUUGAUGUUUGGCACCUGCUCUGGAGAAAGUGACCUGUGAAUGAGAGAAUGGAAGGAGCCCAAGUCUGGAGAUGAUGAUAAUAAUCCAGUGGCAAGAUGAUGAAGACUUGGCCUAUGACAGUAGCAAUGGAGAUGAACAGGAUGUACCUGGAAUCUGUGGGGGCCUCCCUCUGAAAGAUACACUGAAAUAUGAGGGAAGUGACAAAGCACUGUCACCUGUGAUUUGAAGUUUGGCAGCAGGAGAACAGACUGAAUGGCAAGUAAACCUUCCUCACGGACACUUAGCUCCACAUACCAUUUAUUCCCGAAGCACAACCAUAAACACCAGCCGAGGACUUUAUAGAAAAGAGGACCAAGGACUUUACAUGGAUGUAGUGGCCAAUGUGUAGUAUCUCAAGGGAAUAAGGCAGCAUGAUAAGGGAGAAGGGCGUUUAGAGAAUCAGCCAAAAGCUCUAUCUUCUUUUGUUUUAAGUGUUCUGCUCACACCCAUGAAAGAUUUUCCAGGACAGCUCUUUGCAGAGCCUUGGGAAAAAUGAACAUUGAAGUUUCUGCCUAAUGGUGGAAAGCAGAGCGUUAACGAGAUGACUGCUAAGGCGUGUCUUCCAUCUCUCUUGGUCACACAACCCUAGGAGUGAAACAAAAACUCCCAAACAGGGCUGGCAUUCAGCUAGUACAUUCCUGUACAGGCUUACCUGUUGUUUGCAUCUGUUCUAAUGGACCAGUGCCCAUUUAGAUUAUAGUACUUCUAUACUGUAAGUAUAGAAGGGUGUGGGUUUUUUUUCUUUAAAUAGGUGUUAUUGGAUUAUAGUUGACUUACAAUGUUGUGUUGGUUUCAGGUGUACAACAGAGUGAAUCAGCCAUACAUAUACAUAUAUCCAUUCUUUUUCAGAUCCUUUCCCAUACAGGCUAUCGCCGAGUAUUGAAUUCAUUUCCCCAAGCACUACGGUAGGUCCUUGUUACCGAUCA
rnacentral:lncRNA from 1 species